UCCAGACUCCUACGGGAGGCAGCAGUGGGGAAUAUUGCACAAUGGGGGGAACCCUGAUGCAGCGACGCCGCGUGGGUGAAGGAGCACCUCGGUGCGUAAAGCCCUAUCGGCAGGGAAGAAACAGACGGUACCUGAGUAAGAAGCCCCGGCUAACUACGUGCCAGCAGCCGCGGUAAUACGUAGGGGGCAAGCGUUAUCCGGAUUUACUGGGUGUAAAGGGAGCGUAGACGGCCAGACAAGUCUGAAGUGAAAAUCCAGCGCUUAACGUUGGAAGUGCUUUGGAAACUGCCGGGCUAGAGUGCAGGAGGGGCAGGCGGAAUUCCUAGUGUAGCGGUGAAAUGCGUAGAUAUUAGGAGGAACACCAGUGGCGAAGGCGGCCUGCUGGACUGCAACUGACGUUGAGGCUCGAAGGCGUGGGGAGCAAACAGGAUUAGAUACCCCUGUA
rnacentral:rRNA from 1 species